GAUCAACAUUUUUUUCCAGGCAUUCAUUUUAUUAUUAUUUAAGCACAAAACAGCCAUUUUAAAAGUGACAAAGUACACAUUGAAAAAGUACAUUUCUAUCACCAAGUUUCUAUCACCAAGUACUGCUGCAAUUAUAUUUUGCGAGAACGUGUACAUCUCCACCAGUUAUUAAAAACAAACUGGUUUUAAUAUAUUCACAAAAAUAUAGUUUCCUCUAAGUUAGUACUGAUGGCUUUGUUAAUUUGUUCAAAGCCCUUUUAAACCAAAAUAAUAAUGUAAGGUUUUCUGCA